rnacentral:rRNA from 1 species
AUUGAACGCUGGCGGCAGGCCUAACACAUGCAAGUCGAACGAGUGGCGGACGGGUGAGUCAUGUCUGGGAAACUGCCCGAUGGAUGGGGAUAACUACUGGAAACGGUAGCUAAUCCCGCAUACCCUCGGAUGUGCCCAGCUGGGAUUAGCUAGUAGGUGGGGUAACGGCUCACCUAGGCGACGAUCCCUAGCUGGUCGGAGAGAAUGACCAGCCACACUGGAACAGAGACACGAUCCAGACUCCUCCGGGAGGCAGCAGUGGGGAAUAUUGCACAAUGGGCGCAAGCCUGAUGCAGCCAUGCCGCGUGUAUGAAGAAGGCCUUCGGGUUUUAAAGUACUUUCAGCGAGGAGGCGUUACUCGCAGAAGAGGCACCGGCUAACUCCGUGCCAGCAGCCGCGGUAAUAC